UCACAUCUUACGAUGGCAGUCCCAAUAGAGUUCCCAGCAUGACCUGAUGGCAACUAUUGGCAAGGGUUGCGCUCGUUAUGGCACUUAAGCCGACACCUCACGGCACGAGCUGACGACAACCAUGCAGCACCUUCACACUGGUCCGAAGAAGGGCUCAUCUCUGAGCCUGUCCAGUGCAAUUUAAGCCCGGGUAAGGUUCCUCGCGUAUCAUCGAAUUAAACCACAUGUUCCUCCGCUUGUGCGGGCCCCCGUCAAUUCCUUUGAGUUUCACCGUUGCCGGCGUACUCCCCAGGUGGAAUACUUAAUGCUUUCGCUUGGCCGCUGACUGUAUAUCGCCAACAGCGAGUAUUCAUCGUUUACCGUGUGGACUAC
rnacentral:misc_RNA from 1 species